rnacentral:rRNA from 1 species
AUGAAGUGGAUACUUUCUUUGAGGUCAUGGAGAUUUCGGAAAGAUCGUAGAGUUCUUUUGGUCGCAUACAAGCUAAAAGGAGGAGCCGGUGCAUGGUGGCAUCGCGUUCAAGAAGAGCACAUGCUGAGAGGAGAACCUCGUGUGAGAACUUGGCGGCAAAUGAAAAGUCUCUUGAAAGGGAGAUUUUUGCCCACUUAUUAUGACCAUAUCCUAUUUACCCAAUUUCAAAAUUGUGCUCAAGGAAAUAUGACUGUUUUAGAUUACACGGAGGAGUUUCUAAGGCUAAAAGUGAGGUGCAACCUUGCUGAAACUGAAGAUCAACAAGUUGCAAGGUACAUCAAUGGUCUCAACGAUGCUACUCAAGAUCGACUGAUGAUGCAACAAAUCUGGUCCAUUGAUCAAGCACAAGCUCUAGCCUUAAAGGCCGAGAGGUUUGUGAGGACAAGAAAGGCAACUAAGGCUCCAUAUCCUCCAUAUCCUCAUGCCGAAGGCUCGUCUAGGAGUCAGCCUAAGAGAGUGAAAGAAAAGACCACUCCACCAAAGGCAAAACAACCCAUCUAG